UCUUCAAAAGUAGUGUCAACACUAAAUCUUGCCCAGAUCUGUUAUUUUUUUAAAUCAGAUUUAGACCACUUCCAUAUGUGGUCCUGAAUCACACCCAGGUCUUUUUUUCCCAAUGCGGCUGCAGUGUGAACAAACAAGGCGGAUUUGAUGCGACUUUUACGUCAAUCUACAUCUACAUUUUUCACGAUUAUGCGCAAGCAGGAGUUAGCCCUAUACACACAGACAGUAAGAACUUGACUAGCUAGGCCUACAAAUGGAGAACAAUGGAGCAAGUCAAUGGAGGGAAAGUGAGGUGUUAGACCUAAGUAGUGUAUGGGGAGAUACUUUAAAUCAGUCAGAACUAGAAGGAUCGUACCGUAACCUCUCUGUUUUUGAAAAAAUAGCAA